CCUACGGGAUGCAGCAGUGAGGAAUAUUGGUCAAUGGACGCGAGUCUGAACCAGCCAAGUAGCGUGAAGGAUGACUGCCCUAUGGGUUGUAAACUUCUUUUAUAUGGGAAUAAAAUGUUCCACGUGUGGGCUUUUGUAUGUACCAUAUGAAUAAGGAUCGGCUAACUCCGUGCCAGCAGCCGCGGUAAUACGGAGGAUCCGAGCGUUAUCCGGAUUUAUUGGGGUUAAAGGGAGCGUAGGUGGGUUUUUAAGUCAGUUGUGAAAGUUUGCGGCUCAACCGUAAAAUUGCAGUUGAAACUGGCAGUCUUGAGUACAGUAGAGGUGGGCGGAAUUCGUGGUGUAGCGGUGAAAUGCUUAGAUAUCACGAAGAACUCCGAUUGCGAAGGCAGCUCACUGGACUGCAACUGACACUGAGGCUCGAAAGUGUGGGUAUCAAACAGGAUUAGAUACCCGUGUAGUC
rnacentral:rRNA from 1 species